UGAGGACAAUGGGCGGCUUCC
rnacentral:miRNA from 1 species